GCCAUAGUUGUUGAUCGAAUAAUAUUUAUACACGUAGUUUGAAAUCGUUUUUGGUUCAUCGGUUUUCUUUAGAGAAAACGCACUUUUCCCGGAUGUAUCCUGUUAUGCAUAUAUUUCAAGUUUUGAUGUAAAAAGGCUGUGAUAAAUUGAGAAUGAAUUCGUAUUUUAUAAUAAUACUUCCAAUAGUGUUAGUUGUGAAAAUAAUAUUUUGGACGACAUACUGUUAUUUUCGGUCACAGAGAUGCAGAUCAGCUCGGGACGACAGGAAUAUCCUUGUGACAUCGCCAACUGCAAUUAUUGACAGACGACCGGUACACGGACAUGCAGUCAAUGCUGUAAAUGGGAAGGAAAAUCCCUGUUACUUCCAACAACCAGAAGUAUACCCAAAUGUCACCAGGUCAACGUCUACUCCGGUGCCAACUUAUGACCAAGCCAUCAAGUCACCAUACUAUAGAGAACAUAUCAACAAUUAUUAAUUUCAUUUAAGUUUCCCUUAAAUGCAUAUACAUUAUAUUCGCUAUAAAACAUUUCUUCAUCCAUUUCAGUAUUUAUCCAUAUUUCUGACAAAAUAUAGUGCUUUAGAAUAAUGUAUCUUAUUUAUGAUUUUAGAAACGUCCCUCCCCCCCCCCCCCCCCCCCUGGCCAAUGCUAAUUUCUUUCUAUCCAUUGCUUUGAAUCAAAUUCAUAUCAUACUUUUAUAUUAAUUAUUAUUAUGUAUUAUCAUUGGCGUUUCUUACAUUUUAUUGUAUGUGACAUCGUGUAUUCGAUCCGUUUUAUACGAAAUUUUUCAAACUUUCUUUUGGUGUAAAAAUGAAAAAAAAAAGAAAA